GAUCCUGGCUCAGGAUGAACGCUAGCUACAGGCUUAACACAUGCAAGUCGAGGGGCAGCAUGACCUAGCAAUAGGUUGAUGGCGACCGGCGCACGGGUGAGUAACACGUAUCCAACCUACCGGUUAUUCCGGGAUAGCCUUUCGAAAGAAAGAUUAAUACCGGAUAGUAUAACGAGAAGGCAUCUUCUUGUUAUUAAAGAAUUUCGAUAACCGAUGGGAGUGCGUUCCAUUAGUUUGUUGGCGGGUACGGCCACCAA
rnacentral:rRNA from 1 species